rnacentral:tRNA from 1 species
GAAAAAAUAAUUAAAUUAUAAUUUUAAUUUGUGGAGUUAAGUUUAGUGGUUAGAUUCCACUUUUUUUCC